ensembl:lncRNA
CUGGUUACAGGAGACACUGAGAGCGCAAACAGACGCAAAUAGGUAGACUGGCAGUAAUAAGAUACAGCUUAGAAUAAAGACCUGCUGGUAUUCACAUAUCAUGUGAUAUUCACAUUUCAGAAAUGUUUCUGGCACGCUGUAAGCCACUCCCAUUUACUUAAACAUCUGAGCACAGAGCUGUAGACGCUUAGAUUUCACAAGUGUUCAGUGUGAUCUCAGCUCUUCAGAAACUAUCAGGCCUCAAAUCAGAAGUUCAUCAUGCCGGGGAUGGACAGAGAUAUUGUGUUGGAGGCUCUCUCUGCUCUCACUGACCGUAAAGUGAGACCUUACACUGAACGGAAACAGAGCCAUCUCUUUGUUUCUAGGCGAUGACCAGACCGGCGACAGUGAGAUUUCGGAUUUACGGAACGAGCUGUUUGUGGACUUGGACAGCUUUUUAGACCCACAAUAUGAUUAUGAUUUCCGAGAGAUGAGCGAUUCCUCAGCGUGCUCUCGUGGAGGUGAGCCGUACAAGCGGCCGGUCGGGUGGUACCGCUUCGCUCUGAAGGUGAAGGAUAAAUACCCAGACGGAAACGCAUGGCUCGGCUCUGUACACUGGAGGAGUUAUUCUGAAGCCGGUGAGUGGCCCGUUUCCUUCCACGGCACAAGCAUCGAAGGCGCUAAAGGAGUCGCAAGCACACAUUACAAAGCUGGUCCACGUGAGGCAUACGGGCGUGGAGUUUAUUCAACUCCUGACAUUACAAUUGCAGAUAGUUAUGCAAUGACCAAGAAAUUCACAUCCAAGAAAACCAGGAAAACCUACAAAGUCAUCAUGCAGAACCGAGUUAAUCCAACAAAACGGAAGAUUAUCAAAGAUAAAAACUUCUGGCUCAUUGAGGUUCCUAGCGAAAGCACAGCAGCGCAAGAGAAAGAGAUUGUGGAGAGUUCAAUCCGUCCUUACGGCAUUCUCAUUACAGAAGUGUAAAUCACACAGAACUGAAGAAGUGCAGUCUUAAGGCUUUAAAAUGUUCAAUAACGUCUACUAUUCUUUUAAACAAAUAAUAAUGUAGGCGUGUUGUUGGUGAGGUAUUUUUUGUUGGCUGUUGGUUAGGUAUGUUUUUGUGUGUGUUGGGGAAAUCCUCUAUUUCAUGUUCAUUCUGAAUAUUUUGAAGAUCAGAAUGUACUUACCUUCAUACAAUAAAUAAUAUAUUGGUGUGGUGAUUGUAAGGGUUUAAAAAAAAAGACAUUUCAUUAUUCAUUACAUAAAUGUGGCCUAGUAAUAAAAUUAAUAAAAGUAAUAAAAGAUCUACUAUGACACAAAAUGAUAAUAAAAUUAUCAUAAAGGAAAUAGUAC